CCUACGGGGGGCAGCAGUGAGGAAUAUUGGUCAAUGGACGAGAGUCUGAACCAGCCAAGUAGCGUGAAGGAUGACUGCCCUAUGGGUUGUAAACUUCUUUUAUAUGGGAAUAAAAUGUUCCACGUGUGGGAUUUUGUAUGUACCAUAUGAAUAAGGAUCGGCUAACUCCGUGCCAGCAGCCGCGGUAAUACGGAGGAUCCGAGCGUUAUCCGGAUUUAUUGGGUUUAAAGGGAGCGUAGGUGGAUUGUUAAGUCAGUUGUGAAAGUUUGCGGCUCAACCGUAAAAUUGCAGUUGAAACUGGCAGUCUUGAGUACAGUAGAGGUGGGCGGAAUUCGUGGUGUAGCGGUGAAAUGCUUAGAUAUCACGAAGAACUCCGAUUGCGAAGGCAGUUCACUGGACUGCAACUGACACUGAGGCUCGAAAGUGUGGGUAUCAAACAGGAUUAGAUAUCCGAGUAGUC
rnacentral:rRNA from 1 species